AGCAUGGCCAAGAGGGAGGCCUCUAAGCAAGGUAUCCAAGGACGAAAUCAUUCUGCCCUUUACAGAAGGCUUCCUGGAGCAGGUGAAAGUGAAUGAGGGUGUGAACUGGUAGGAGAGUUGGACAAUACAAGGAAACAAAGACACUGGGUGAGGAGGUUCAGGAAGAGGACUGAAGGCCAGCUGGAAUGGAGGCUCUUGUCAGGAAAUAAGGAAAGGAUAGGCACAGGAGACUUUUGGGGUAGGAGUCCCAAACUGGGAAAAGCAUCUGGGCUGCCAGGUGGCUAAAGCCUGCUGAAUCUACAGUGAGGUUGCUUGAGCUGAGCCACUGUGGGAUGUGAGGGACACUAAGGAGGUCCCAAGGCAGCCAGGUAUGUGAUGGCAAGCAGUGACUGGGGCUCCAUCCCCCAGGUGCUCCACAACACAGAAGACCGAGCCAGGAGAGAGCCCUUCCCCUCUGUGGGUUGAAGAACACUGGCUUUUGAGAGACGACGAUCUACCGGGCAUGGCUGGGUCAUUCAGGGUGUGACUGCCAGGCUGCUAACAAAGAGUGUGCAGCGGCUCCCUUAAGGACAGGACAGCAAAUAGGAACCACAGUGUCCAGUCCCUGCCUGGCAGCACGUAGCCACCCAGCAUGAAGGAUAGUCAUUCAGGAAGGGCUCUGUUGCCUUCCAAAUUGCCUGGGCUUUGGGCAGAGGCCUUCUCCUCCUUGAGAGCGCUUAACCCCCAGGGCAACACAGGGCCUCUGUUCCAAGACAAAAAGCAUGCUGAGGUGACACCGACCAUGCCUUUCUUUACCUUGGCAAUCUCAUGCCCACACCUAAAUAUAGAUGCUGGUGCAGAACAUCUGCCCGCUGCCACAGAAUUGGUAAAGUCCGACUUACAACAGAAGGGCAUGGUGUUAAGACUCUAGAAGCUUUUCACUACGCGUUGUUAGGAUCCCAAGUUCCUUUUUCGUUCAGAUUGAACAUCCUCAGCUACAGGUGAAGAUGGCACGUGGCCUGGUGGCGGGAGACAGCCAUGCAAACUGGACAGACAUGCAGCUUCUCACCAGGAGGGAGGAAGAGGCAUUGAGCCCCAGGGCCCCAGCCUGAGGCUUCCCUCUGAACGGGACUUCUCUCAGUGGCUCCAAACUACCCUGAGAAGGAGGUAAAUCAAAGUUCACGCUGGAAACAUCAAACCCAAGCAGAAGAAUAACACAGAGCAAGAUCGUGGAUGGUCCUAGCUCUUUAAAAUCACACUUAAAAAUCACUUUAUCUUUCUUAAUAAAUUAUUGCAAGCUGAA